UCGGGGCGCUGGUGGAGGUGCUGCAUGGUGUCGUCAGCUCGUGCCGUGAGGUGUCGGCUUAAGUGCCAUAACGAGCGCAACCCUUUUCAUUAGUUGCCAUCAGGUAAUGCUGGGCACUCUGGUGAUACUGCCACCGUAAGGUGUGAGGAAGGUGGGGAUGACGUCAAAUCAGCACGGCCCUUACGUCCGGGGCUACACACGUGUUACAAUGGGUGGUACAGAGAGUCGGAUCAACGCAAGUUGGUUCUAAUCCUAAAAGCCAUCCUCAGUUCGGAUUGGGGUCUGCAACCCGACCCCAUGAAGCUGGAUUCGCUAGUAAUCGCGCAUCAGCCAUGGCGCGGUGAAUACGUUCCCGGGCCUUGUACACACCGCCCGUCAAGCCAUGAAAGCCGGGGGCGCUUGAAGUCCGUGACCGCAAGGAUCGGCCUAGAGCGAAACUGGUAAUUGGGGCUAAGUCGUAACAAGGUAACCUA
rnacentral:rRNA from 1 species